GUUAUUGCUAAGAGAAAAGAAAGACGCCGGAUUAGAGCCGGAUUAGAAUUGAAAAUCGCUUCUAUUUUAUUCAGAGCGGCGCUACUCGUUCAUCUUCUUCUUCCUAAACCCUAGAUCCAAGAGCUUGCUAUUUUUCUUUUUCCACAAUUCUCUUCCAAUUCUUCUCCCUAAUUCACCCAAAUGGCCUGAGAAUUUCAGUUGGUUUGUCUACCGAAAGAUGAAGAGAAAAGGAUUGAAGCUAGUUUGAUUGGGUUUGUCUACCGAAAGCUGAAGAGAAAAGGAUUUUGGUUCAUUUUCAAGUGGAUUUCUGUCGUCUCUCACAAGGUGACAAACAAAAGACUGAAUGAGUCGACCCCCACCUACACGUGUGAUAUAUGCUUUGCGUCGUUGUUAGUAUCACCACCUCUCAUCCACUGAAGGGGAUGCUGAGGAUGAAGCUCGUGAAAUAGUGGAAGAACCCACACUUCCUCAUGUCCAGGUAAUUUUUCACUUUUCUUCUCAUAUAUGAAGGUGACACCUUGUCUUCUUCUGUGUGUAGGUAACAAAAUCAUAUUCUUACCAAUCUCAUGGACACGGUACAAGAAGAGAAUAAUACACUUAGGAACCGCACAAGUUCAAUUGAAGAUGAACUUAAAAGUAUUUAAGAUGUGCUGCUACAAAAACUCCAAUGUCUCUAAUCCAAGAAGCUCCAAAUCUUGAUUAUAUUUGAUGUAGAUUUUUUUUGUUUUAGAUCAAACAAGAUGAUGGGAGUGUGAUUCUUGGUUUCACAUGAAUUCUAUAAUAUGAUGUUGAAAUUCUUUUGUGUAA